ensembl:lncRNA
AUCAAACAUGGAGUCAGUCAACAGCUCUCUGUGAUUAUAAAGACAUCAAACAUGGAGUCAGUCAACAGCUCUCUGUGAUUAUAAAGUCAUCAAACAGGGAGUCAGUCAACAGCUCUCUGUGAUUAUAAAGUCAUCAAACAUGGAGUCAGUCAACAGCUCUCUGUGAUUAUAAAGUCAUCAAACAUGGAGUCAGUCAACAGCUCUCUGUGAUUAGGGGGGCGGGGUUUAGGCUAGGUAGCUGUCUGUCUGUCAUCGGAAGACCAGCGUGGAGGCCUUGAGACAGGUGAAGGAGGCAGUGAGACAGGUGAAGAAGAGAGAAACAGACAGGUAGAUCUGAGAUGCAUCUCCACACUCCUUGGCGUUUACCUGAAAUCAAUCGUUGACACAGUUACAGCCAGUGGUCUAAUGAAAACAUGUUAUUACACAAGGAGAAGUGCUAACCUUUCUUCUUCUUGGUCCUCCCAUCACAUGAAAUAACUGUGAAAACUAUGAUUUGUUGUUGUUGUUUAUCCUUCAUUUAACUAGGCAAGUCAGUUAAGAACAAAUUCUGAUUUUCAAUGACGGCCUAGGAACAGUGGGUUAACGUGUUCAAUCCAUUUGGUUGAUUUAAAAAUACAGUAUAUAAAAUACCCGUCCAGCAUCACUACUCUGGACGGCUCUGACUUAGAAUAUGUGGAUAACUACAAAUACCUAGGUGUCUGGUUAGACUGUAAACUCUCCUUCCAGACUCACAUUAAGCAUCUCCAAUACAAAAUUAAAUCUAGAAUCGGCUUCCUAUUUCGCAACAAAGCAUCCUUCACUCAUGCUGCCAAAUAUACCCUCGUAAAACUGACCAUCCAACCAAUCCUCGACUAUGGCGAUGUCAUUUAUAAAAUAGCCUCUACUCAACAAAUUGGAUGCGGUCUAUCACAGUGCCAUCCGUUUUGUCACCAAAGCCCCAUAUACUACCCACCACCUCGACCUGUAUGCUCUCGUUGGCUGUCCCUCGCUUCACUCUCGUCGCCAAACCAACUGGCUCCAAGUCAUCUACAAGUCUCUGCUAGGUCAAGCCCCACCUUAUCUCAGCUCACUGGUCACCAUAGCAGCACCCACCCGUAGCACGCGCUCCAACAGGUAUAUUUCACUGGUCACCCCCAAAGCCAAUUCAUCUUUGGCCGCCUUUCCUUCCAGUUCUCUGCUGCCAAUGACUGGAAGGAACUACUGUAAUUUAAUUAAUUAAUUUAUUUUGCUCCUUUGCACCCCAUUAUUUUUAUUUCUACUUUGCACAUUCUUCCAUUGCAAAUCUACCAUUCCAGUGUUUUACUUGCUAUAUUGUAUUUACUUUGCCACCAUGGCCUUUUUUGCCUUUACCUCCCUUCUCACCUCAUUUGCUCACGUUGUAUAUAGACUUGUUUAUACUAUAUUAUUGACUGUAUGUUUGUUUUACUCCAUGUGUAACUCUGUGUCGUUGUAUCUGUCGAACUGCUUUGCUUUAUCUUGGCCAG